AGUCUUUGUAGCUAGUGUGUCUUUUAUCCAACUCUAUGGUCUCUCACUACUUCAAAGUUGUGUCAACCACAGACCUAAAACCUCACAGUCAGUGUCUGUUUCCUUAGACUGCCAGAAAGUUCAUCACAAGACCUCUCUCCCCUUCACUCUACUGCAGGGUGGGAGAUGCAACAAUGGCCUUGAGAACAGCAGGAAGUGUGUUGGUGGUCUUUCUCUGGUCUGUAGCAGCUGUACUGGGGCAGAAUGGCUGGAGUGUGACUAACACCACAGUAUUUGUACCUUGAAGGGGUCAUCAGUGGAACUGUCCUGCUCUUACACAUAUCCCAGUUGGUAUAAAGUCACAACAACCUUCUGGUUCACCAAAAUUGUUGCUGUGGAGAAUUAUGUGAGUCUGAGUGAUGACCC